GACGAACGCUGGCGGCGUGCUUAACACAUGCCAGUCGAACGGAAAGGCCCUGCUUGCAGGGUACUCGAGUGGCGAACGGGUGAGUAACACGUGGGUGAUCUGCCCUGCACUUCGGGAUAAGCCUGGGAAACUGGGUCUAAUACCGGAUAGGAGCCAUUUUUAGUGUGAUGGUUGGAAAGUUUUUUUCGGUGUAGGAUGAGCUCGCGGCCUAUCAGCUUGUUGGUGGGGUAAUGGCCUACCAAGGCGGCGACGGGUAGCCGGCCUGAGAGGGUGGACGGCCACAUUGGGACUGAGAUACGGCCCAGACUCCUACGGGAGGCAGCAGUGGGGAAUAUUGCACAAUGGGCGCAAGCCUGAUGCAGCGACGCCGCGUGGGGGAUGACGGCCUUCGGGUUGUAAACUCCGUUCGCUAGGGACGAAGCUUUUUGUGACGGUACCUAGAGAAGAAGCACCGGCUAACUACGUG
rnacentral:rRNA from 1 species